CCCUUAGAUGUUCUGGGCUGCACGCGCGCUACACUGACAUGUCCAGCGAGCUCCCAACCUGCUCGGCAAAGAAUGGGUACCCUUUUUAACGCAUGUCGUGAUGGGGAUAGAUUAUUGCAAUUGUUGAUCUUGAACGAGGAAUUCCUAGUAAGUGCAAGUCAUUAGCUUGUGCUGAAUACGUCCCUGCCCUUUGUACACACCGCCCGUCGCUCCUACCGAUUGAGUGCUCCGGUGAACAAUUUGGACUGCUUUGAUUCGGUUAGAAUUUGAAGCGGAAAGUUUAGUGAACCUUAUCACUUAGAGGAAGGAGAAGUCGUAACA
rnacentral:rRNA from 1 species